UACAGAGGUCCCAAGCGUUGUUCGGAUUCACUGGGCGUAAAGGGUGCGUAGGUGGCCAGGUAAGUUUGGUGUGAAAGCUCGGAGCUUAACUCCGAAAAGUCAUUGAAUACUAUCUGGCUGGAGGGUCGGAGGGGAGACUGGAAUUCUCGGUGUAGCAGUGAAAUGCGUAGAUAUCGAGAGGAACACCAGUGGCGAAGGCGAGUCUCUGGACGACUCCUGACACUGAGGCACGAAAGCUAAGGGAGCAAACAGG
rnacentral:rRNA from 1 species